AUUGAACGCUGGCGGAAUGCUUUACACAUGCAAGUCGAACGGCAGCGCGGACUUCGGUCUGGUGGCGAGUGGCGAACGGGUGAGUAAUGUAUCGGAACGUGCCCAGUCGUGGGGGAUAACGUAGUGAAAAUUACGCUAAUACCGCAUACGAUCUAUGGACGAAAGCGGGGGAUCGCAAGACCUCGCGCGAUUGGAGCGGCCGAUAUCAGAUUAGGUAGUUGGUGGGGUAAAGGCCCAUCAAGCCAACGACCUGUAGCUGGUCUGAGAGGACGACAAGCCACACUGGAACUGAGACACGGUCCAGACUCCUACGGGAGGCAGCAGUGGGGAAUUUUGGACAAUGGGCGAAAGCCUGAUCCAGCCAUUCCGCGUGCAGGAUGAAGGCCCUCGGGUUGUAAACUGCUUUUGUACAGAACGAAAAGGUUUCUACUAAUACUAGGAGCUCAUGACGGUACUGUAAGAAUAAGCACCGGCUAACUACGUGCCAGCAGCCGCAGUAA
rnacentral:rRNA from 1 species